rnacentral:lncRNA from 1 species
GGCAGGCGCCGCGCCGUGGACUCGGCGCUGCGGGACGAGCGGCUGAGCUCGGAUGAGGAACUCGGAUCCGCCGGCAUCGCCUCCCUGCUGAGCGAGGCCAGCCUGCAGGCCAGCUCCUGCUGACUCCGGGAACGCGGGAAUGUGGGAAUGUGGGAAUGCGGGAAUGCCAGGAAUCUGGGAAUCCGGGAAUGCGGGAACGCGGGAAUGUGGGAAUGCGGGAAUGCCAGGAAUCCGGGAAUACCAGGAAUCCAGGAAUGCGGGAAUGUGGGAAUGCGGGAAUACCAGGAAUCCGGGAAUCCAGGAAUACCAGGAAUCCGGGAAUCCGGGAAUGCCGGAAUAUGGGAAUGCGGGAAUCCAGGAAUGCAGGAAUCCGGGAAUACCGGGAAUCUGGGAAUGCAGGAAUCCGGGAAUCCGGGAAUACCAGGAAUCCGGGAAUGCAGGAAUCCGGGAAUAUCCGGGAAUGCGGGAACGUGGGAAUGUGGGAAUGCGGGAAUCCGGGAAUGCCGGAAUCCGGGAAUACCAGGAAUCCGGGAAUACCAGGAAUCCGGGAAUGCCGGGAAUGCGGGAAUACCAGGAAUCCGGGAAUACCAGGAAUCCGGGAAUACCAGGAAUCCGGGAAUGUGGGAAUGCCGGAGUCAGCGCUGAGGCCGGGACUGGUUCCAGGAUUGCUCGUCCGGGGAUCAGCCUGGGACCGUCC